CAGCCUCACUCCUGGGGGGGCGGGGAUUCUCUUCCUCCAACACACUGGGUUCUCAGGCCUGGGGGUCUCCUUCCUCAGGGACACUCACUCAGCUGUAGGCGGGGUUCUGUGGUUACCUGGUUACCAUCUGUCUCCCCUGGGGGACGGUGGGCCCCAUGGCCAAGGAACCCCGUCACGGAGCGAAUGCUCUACAGAAAAGCUUCAAGUUUCGGGAGUAUUCUCAACUGGUCCUGAGUCAACUGCUCUCCCUCAACCUUAAUCCUUGGACCUUCUUCCUCGGCUGGUGGAAUCCAGGAUAAAGUGGGAUAAAUCCAGGAUAACGCAGAACGUGGCAGAAAGGCCGGCCCGAGGCCAGGACCAGAACAAGACGGUGUGUAAGUCAGAGGAGAAGGAAUCCCGAAGCAAAGCAUACCUUCGCCGCUUACGUCCCACGUAUUCUGCUUCUCUGGCCAACAUGGACUUCUCCAGGAGAACCCCACACGCUGAGCAUGCCUCACCCCAGGCCACCACGGAUGUUUCCCAUGAAGCGGUUUAACAGACGCCCCGCCCGCCCGACUGGAAGAAUCCUGUAGAUUUCUUGCAGCAAAGGAGAUUAACCUUCCAGAACACACAAGAGAUGAGCCUGCUUCUUCUAGGAUGGCCACAGUACCUCUGACUUUGGAACAAGCAAUUCAGACUCACCACGUUGUGGUUCGCUCGUGUGUCUUCUCUGCCCGGGGGUUAGAUGAUGCAGUUCCCGGGCGAGCAAAGGAGGAUUCGAGUGGAAGGGAAAGCAGGGGACGCUGGAGGAUGGGAGGUUGCGGUCAGAGCGGGAUGCCCAGCACGAUCUCUGAGUCUGAGCAGCUCUGGGCAAAGCCCAGAGGAGGCCAGGACAGCAAGGCGAUAUUGGACCAACUACGUGGACCAGGAAUGAGACCGUAGCAUCACCUUGAUGAAAAGGAUGAAGAAAUGUUGAAACUCCCAAAGAAGCAAUUAAAUGGCAGAUUUCUUUUUCUUUAGUUCAAAGUUAUGAUAAGCAACAAUAGCAUCAUCCACUAAAUAACAUAUUCAUUAUAAACGUAACAUUUUCCAUACAGAAGCCUGGAACCAUGAAUGAGAAGACGUAGAAAAAGGAGAAGAAUAAAACUCACAGAGGGAUGAGAUCAUGGAAAUUAGCAGAUGGAGAAAAUACCUAAGUAUGAUUUAUAUGGUUAAGUAAGUUUCAGAAAAAAAUUUUAAAUUAUGACUAAGCACUAGGAGACUCUAAAACGAAUCAAGAUGUUUGAGGGGCACCUAGGUGGCUCAGUCGGUGAAGCAUCUGACGUAGUAGGCUCAGGUCAUGAUCUCGUGGUCUGUAAGUUCAGGCCCCACG